GGCCGGUUAGUUAAGACGGUGUUAGUAACGGACCCCUUAUAAGGGUUUGACCCAAGUUCGAUUCUUGGACCGGCUA
rnacentral:tRNA from 1 species